CGCGUAGGCGGCACCUUAAGUCAGAUGUGAAAACCCGAGGCUCAACUUCGGGCGUGCAUUUGAAACUGGGGAGCUUGAGUGCAGGAGAGGAAAGCGGAAUUCCUAGUGUAGCGGUGAAAUGCGUAGAUAUUAGGAGGAACACCAGUGGCGAAGGCGGCUUUCUGGACUGUAACUGACGCUGAGGCGCGAAAGCGUGGGGAGCAAACAGGAUUAGAUACCCUGGUAGUCCACGCUGUAAACGAUGGAUACUAGGUGUGGGAGGUAUCGACCCCUUCCGUGCCGCAGUAAACGCAAUAAGUAUCCCGCCUGGGGAGUACGGCCGCAAGGUUGAA
rnacentral:rRNA from 1 species